rnacentral:lncRNA from 1 species
CCUGUCUCCCCCAUCGUUGCCUCACAGAAGAGCAGUUUCUAGUCUCACUUCUGGAGACUGUUAACAAAAUACUUCAUCUCCGUUUCAAGGAUGACAAAACUCGAGGUAAGUGCUUCUCCUGUACACUUUCUGUAGAGAGCUAGAUUCCUUUUGCAAAUUACCUAGCUGCCUAUAGCACAUAGUGUAGUUGUAGCUGUGUUGGUCCCAGGGUAUUAGAGGCACAAGGUGGGUGAGGUAAUAUUUUAUUGGAGCAU